rnacentral:tRNA from 1 species
GGGCGCGUAGCUCAGUGGGAGAGCGCUUGCUUCACACGCAAGAGGUCGCAGGUUCGAAACCUGCCGCGCCCACCA